ACUGGCACAUGCCGUGCACGUGCAAUCGUUUAGAUUUCUGGGAAGUCGUCCUUGGCUUGAAGACAUCAGAUCUGAAGUGUGGUGAUUUUCUGAGCUACCAGUUGACGAUCCAUCUCCCAUCACUUGUUUAUGUGAGCACCAAGCAGAAGCGUUAACGGAGAAGGGUCAAGGACGUACAAGAGAUGGAAAAUGAUCUUCAUGGAGAAACAGAUAUGGGAAGCAUGAAACUGCAUCACUAGUGACAGGCGAUCAGCUAGUGUAUCAAUAGCACAUUGAAUUAUCUAUCAUACUAAUCAUUGCGUUGAAUUCACUUAAACUGUAGCCUAAGAAAGACAGCGUUUAGCAUAUGUACUGAAAAAGCCAUUCAGCAUUUUGGACUGCACAGAGAUGGGUACCUGAUCUCUAGAGUGCACAAUUUGAGCCUAAAAAUA